rnacentral:misc_RNA from 1 species
GAUGAAGAACGUAGCGAAAUGCGAUACGUAAUGUGAAUUGCAGAAUUCAGUGAAUCAUCGAAUCUUUGAACGCAUAUUGCGCUCUCUGGUAUUCCGGAGAGCAUGCUUGUUUGAGUAUCAGUAAACACCUCAACUCCCUUUUCUUUUUUGAAAUUGGAGCUCGACUUAGUGAUCCCAACGCUUUCUUCCAAGAAAGUGGCGGGUUGCUUGAAAUGCAGGUGCAGCUGAACUUUUCUCUGAGCUAUAAGCAUAUCUAUUUAGUCUGCCUAAAAAACAGAUUAUUACCUUUGCUGCAGCUAACAUAAAGGAGACUAGUUCUUGUGCUGACUGAUGCAGGAUUCACAGAGACAGCUUCGGCUGACUUUGUAAACUCGAUCUCAAAUCAAGUAAGACUACCCGCUGAACUUAAGCAUAUCAAUAAGCGGAGGA